rnacentral:rRNA from 1 species
CGCGUAGGCGGCUCUUCAAGUCAGGCGUGAAAGCCCCGGGCUCAACCUGGGAACGGCGCUUGGGACUGGAGGGCUGGAGUUCGGGAGAGGAGCGUGGAAUUCCCAGUGUAGAGGUGAAAUUCGUAGAUAUUGGGAAGAACACCGGUGGCGAAGGCGGCGCUCUGGACCGAGACUGACGCUGAGGCGCGAAAGCGUGGGGAGCAAACAGGAUUAGAUACCCUGGUAGUCCACGCUGUAAACGAUGUGUGCUAGACGUUGGGGGGCUUAGCUCUUCGGUGUCGCAGCAAACGCUUUAAGCACACCGCCUGGGGAGUACGGCCGCAAGGUUAAA